UACGUAGGGGGCAAGCGUUGUCCGGAAUCCUUGGGCGUAAAGAGCGUGUAGGCGGCUCGGUAAGUCCGCUCUGAAAGCCCGGGGCUCAACCCCGGGAGGCGGGCGGAUACUGUCGGGCUAGAGUCCGGAAGAGGCGAGUGGAAUUCCUGGUGUAGCGGUGAAAUGCGCAGAUAUCAGGAGGAACACCAAUGGCGAAGGCAGCUCGCUGGGACGGUACUGACGCUGAGACGCGAAAGCGUGGGGAGCAAACAGG
rnacentral:rRNA from 1 species